rnacentral:rRNA from 1 species
AACGAACGCUGGCGGCAGGCCUUACACAUGCAAGUCGAACGUGAAAGUCCUUCGGGAUGAGUAAAGUGGCGCACGGGUGAGUAACGCGUGGGAACGUACCCUUCAGUACGGGAUAACAGCGGGAAACUGCUGCUAAUACCGUAUAUUCUCGAGAGAGGAAAGAUUUAUCGCUGAAGGAUCGGCCCGCGUCAGAUUAGCUAGUUGGUGGGGUAAUGGCCUACCAAGGCUACGAUCUGUAGCUGGUCUGAGAGGAUGAUCAGCCACACUGGAACUGAGGCACGGUCCAGACUCCUACGGGAGGCAGCAGUGGGGAAUAUUGGACAAUGGGCGAAAGCCUGAUCCAGCCAUGCCGCGUGAAUGAUGAAGGCCUUAGGGUUGUAAAGUUCUUUUGACGGGGAAGAUAAUGACGGUACCCGUAGAAUAAGCUCCGGCUAACUUCGUGCCAGCCGCCGCCGUAA